CCUUCUAAUCAGGGCUGAUGCUAAAAUAAGACAUUUUAUUUAAAGCAGAUUAUAAAAAAAGAGUAGCAGCAUCAGUUUCUACUGUUCUAAGAAGAAAGAUCUCCAGACAUGCAAGAAGAACUGUAUCUGCUACUGAAAUUCAUCCUUUUCCUGUGAAAACCAGGAAACAGCAGGUUCUACUUCCUGCACAGGCCACAAAGAUACUGCCUGUAAUUCCUGAACAAGAGCAUUCUCACGUGGAUCAACUGUAGAAGCAAGGCACCCACACAAACAGCAGAAGACAGGAAUUAUGCAGAGAGAAAACAGGUAAACGCAUAAGACAUUCUAGCAAAGGCAUGUAAUGAGUGAGCUCAGGAAUGAGGGGAAGAUUACAGUUAAGGUAUUUCAUGCAGGUAUUUGUGAAGAAUAGCAGGUGUGAUUUUAAAUUACUGGAAUCCUUCCAAUUAUCCUUUUGACAGUUUUUCUGAAAGGACAAUUUCAGUGCUUGGAAGUAAUAGUACUGUUGUUAAACUUGUCAUAAAAUUUGGUGUGAAGCUUCUGAAGGGAGGUGUUCUGACUAGUACUGACCUAGUGGCUUUGUGGAUUGGCCAUUUCUGUUAGACUUCGUUGUUUACACAGUAAUUC
rnacentral:lncRNA from 1 species